AUGUGCUCACACAUGGGCUGCCGAAAAUACUGUAUAGCUAGGGAGUGGGAGAGGUAGACGGUACUCGGUAGGAAGGGGUAAAAUCCUUUGAUCUAUCGAUGACCACCAGUGGCGAAGGCGGUCUACCAGAACACGUCCGACGGUGAGGGAUGAAAGCUGGGGGAGCAAACCGGAUUAGAUACCCGGGUAGUCCCAGCUGUAAACUAUGCAAACUCAGUGAUGCAUUGGCUUGUGGCCAAUGCAGUGCCGCAGAGAAGUCGUUAAGUUUGCCGCCUGGGAAGUACGUACGCAAGUAUGAAACUUAAAGGAAUUGGCGGGGGAGCACCACAAGGGGUGAAGCCUGCGGUCCAAUUGGAGUCAACGCCAGAAAUCUUACCCGGAGAGACAGCAGAAUGAAGGUCAAGCUGAAGACUUUACCAGACAAGCUGAGAAGUGGUGCAUGGCCGUCGCCAGCUCGUGCCGUGAGGUGUCCUGUUAAGUCAGGUAACGAGCGAGAUCCUUGCCUCUAGUUGCCACCAUUACUCUCAGGAGUAGUGGGGCGAAUUAGCGGGACUGCCGCAGUUAAUGCGGAGGAAGGAGGGGGCCACGGCAGGUCAGUAUGCCCCGAAAAUCGUC
rnacentral:rRNA from 1 species